GUGUCAUUCCCUCUCCAGGUUUCAGAUGCUUGUUUGCAAAACAGCUAAAUACAAUCUGCUGUUUGCAGUAAGAGUAUCUGUUACUGCUGACACUGUCCCAUAUUUGACAUUGUAAAAGAGAGAAACUUGAUCAUCUAGCUCUCAGUGGGUGUGUGUGUAAUGCCACAUCCUGGUUUGUAUGUAGCACAAGAAGGAGGAGAGCUGACAAUUAUUUUUUUGCAUAACUAAACACCCUCAAGGCAUGGUUGUAUAAAUUAUCAGGUAGUGUGUUCACAGAUGAGAUGGCACCAAAGCUCUUUUGUGUCUACAAUACUUGUUGACAGGAAAUACUUCAAUUCAAAGGUAUCAGCUCUUCCUUUCAGGAACCGAAAGCUCUCUGAUUUAUUGCAGAUAUGAGAUGUCAAGCUGUUUUGCGCCUUGCUGUUGCAAUUGUCGUCCUCAUAACCUGGCUAAUCGCCAUCAAUUCAGUCGAUGUACAGGAGAAAGCAAGACAUAUUCUUGGGUUUAAUGUCAUAGAUCAAAUCACACUGAAAUUAAA